GAGUUUGAUCCUGGCUCAGAAUCAACGCUGGCGGCGUGCCUAACACAUGCAGGUCGCACGAGAAAGUGGAGCAAUCCAUGAGUAAAGUGGCGCACGGGUGAGUAACACGUGAAUGAUCUACCUCCGAGUGGGGAAUAACUGAGAGAAAUCUUAGCUAAUACCGCAUAAUACCCACGGGUCAAAGCAGCAAUGCGCUUGGAGAGGAGUUCGCGGCCGAUUAGUUAGUUGGCGGGGUAAUGGCCCACCAAGACGAUGAUCGGUAUCCGGCCUGAGAGGGCGCACGGACACACUGGAACUGAAACACGGUCCAGACUCCUACGGGAGGCAGCAGUGGGGAAUUUUGCGCAAUGGGGGAAACCCUGACGCAGCAACGCCGCGUGGAGGAUGAAGCCCCUUGGGGUGUAAACUCCUUUCGAUCGGGAAGAUAAUGACGGUACCGAUAUAAGAAGCCCCGGCUAACUUCGUGCCAGCAGCCGCCGUAAG
rnacentral:rRNA from 1 species